rnacentral:rRNA from 1 species
CCCCUAGAUGUUCUGGGCCGCACGCGCGCUACACUGAACAGUUCAACAAGUCUUAACCUUGGCCGAUAGGUCUGGGUAAUCUUUGAACGCUGUUCGUGACUGGGAUAGACCUUUGCAAUUAUGGGUCUUCAACGAGGAAUUCCUAGUAAACGCAAGUCAUCAGCUUGCAUUGAUUACGUCCCUGCCCUUUGUACACACCGCCCGUCGCACCUACCGAUUGAAUGGUCCGGUGAAGCCUCCGGAUUGGCGCGCACCUCGGUGCCGCCGAGAAGUUGGCUAAACCUUACCAUUUAGAGGAAGGUGAAGUCGUAACA